CUGUGUGUCUGAGAGCCACAAAAAUUCAGAGAUAUGAGUGAGUUAUUCAGAGAGAGACGGUUGCUUAUUAAUUGGUCGGAGAAUCAGUGAAAGAAAUUGAUGUAGAGAUGUUGCAAGGAUUCAGAUGGGUUUUGAGUUCGAGCAGCUGCAGAUUGAUGCAAAGAAAUUGUUAAGGGUUUGACAUCGAUGGAAGCAGUGAGCAGAUGGGUUCGAGUGCGUGAAAUUCAGAGAAAUCAGAAGAGAUUCAUGGGAUUUUAGGUUCGAUUUUGCUGUUGUUGUUGGUUCAGGAGACUUCGGGUGGAUGCGAAAGCUACAAAUGGGUCUAGAUGAGAAGCUUGAACUGGAGGGUUGGAUUUGGAUUUCUUGAGCUGAGGAAUUGAAAGUCUAUGAAAUGGAGAUCGAUCUGGUGGUGGCUUAAUUGAGAUUAAGGGUUAGUUGGUGGUAUCUGAGAUGAAGCUGCCAUGGUUGUUGCUGUCGUAGAAUGGCUUAAGGCAAAGAGUUGUGCUGUUGGUUGCAGGUUAGGGUUCAGAUUUGAGCUCAAGGUUUAGAUGGGUUUGUGGCAAAUGAUGAGACUGUUAAGUUAAGGAAGGUGGAAGCAAAGCCGAAGUAGUCGUGGUGGUUGAGUUGGUGCAGCUGGAGUUACAGGUGAUGCUGCAAUGAUUGUAACCACUAAAUGGAGUUUGGUGAUGAUUGUGUGGUUGUCAUGAGGAGAUUCAGAGGAGCUAAAAUGGAUGGGAAGAUGAGCAAAUGGCAGUGGCUAGGGUUGUGAAGUGAACUGCAGAUGAGGUUGCAGGGUUAAUGAUAAGCAGUUGGUUUGAGGUGAACUGAGAGAUGCAAACUGGUUCUGGUGGUUGUGUUACUGAAGGGUGGAGGCCUGUAAGCUGAGUAGGUGCGAUGAAGGUGCAGAGAAAGAGUUGAAGUUGCUACCAGUAAACCAAUGUUGCUGCCAUGGGUUGUGCUGCAGGUGGGAUCUGAAGGAAUGGUUAUGUGAGCUAUAGGAAAUUUCAGGAAUAGAAGGGUAGUCUUGCUGUUGUAUGCAAAAGAACAAGGUAUUGGAAGAAGUGCUGUUGUAGCCAAAGCAGAGAAGCUGAGUCACUGGAGUUGCAGUUGGUAAUGCAAUGAGAAGUUAUGAUACAGAGUUACGAGGCAUGGGAGGUGUUGGAAGGUUAUUGGCUCAAGGAAGUGAAUCUGAUGUUGUUGGAGUUGAGAUAGUACUGGUAUUGAAGCCACUGGUGCUAGUGAAAUUGCAGGUGCAGUUGUAAGUGUGUUGAAGUGGGAGCUGCAGGGUCGAUUGAGCUUGGUUGCAAUUGAACCAAGAAACUGAAAUGGAGUUGCUGCUAAUGAUUGAAUGGAUGGAUGUAAUGUGCAGGGAAGAUAUCACUGUUGCUGUGGCAUGAAGGUGUCAUUGAAGGUUAGAAUGCUUCAACAGAGUACACUGUCAGUUCCAUGGGACUGACAGUUGAACCGAGUUGACUCAAUCCAAUGAGACAGGUGAUCUGGUUAGAUGGACUUGGAUCUGGGCUUGGCUGAUGGGUGUUUUAGGAGCGGGCUUUUGGCAGAAGAUGGUGCGACCUAAGUGAAAAUCAGGGAAGGAGAGAAAGUUAUAAGGGUCUCAUAUUCUAUUGGAUCUUAUCUUCUCUUCUCUUCUACUUUUGUUAUAGGAUUUAGAAACAUGAAAGCUUUUCUUUUUCUUCUUGUUAUGAACUCCAUGAACAUGAGUACUUAAUUUUUUUUUGGUUAUGGAUUAGUUGGAUUUCACAU